CUCCCCAGUCCCUGGAAACUUCCCUGUCAAUCCUCAUAUCCCCUCCCUGGCACCUUGUCUGUCACUCAGCUCCCCAUCCCCUUUCUCUAGAAGCUUCCACAAAGGGCGUCGAGGGCCAGGGGUCUCUCUUACCAUGUUCCCUGAUACGUUGUUCUGUUUGUCAGUUACUCCUUGUUUCACUACCCUUUAUCCCCUCAUUGGUGGAUGUCUGGAUCCCUCCCUUAUUUCCACCCCCCAAUAAAAGGUGCUGCUCCGGAGUCUUUGCAGCUUUCCAGAACUAUGUCCCCUGAGGACGAGAGCUCUUCAGAGCUUCCAAUAAAACAUUGGGUUUUAUAUCCUCUAGAUUGCCUACUCCUGUCCUUCACUGUUGUCUGCUGUGUCUCCCCAAGGAAAGUGCUCGCAACCCUUAACCUCCUUUCUGCCCUCCUGAGAUCAGAAGUGUCCCCUGUAGUCUCAGUGUCGGAGCUAGCAGGGAGACACCGAGUGGACACUUGGUGGACACUGCGACAGAGGACCUUUGCAAUAUACAGCGGUAUGCAUGGUAUUUUUUGGGUAAUCAAGAUGCACAGACUUAUGUGGAAAAUGCUGCUGAACAGAAAGAAAAUGUAAUUAUUUUCUCAGAGACCUUGAAACUGUUUCUUUAAUGCCAUUACACUGCUGAACAUCAAAGAAUAUGUACAGCUGCUGACUUUGAGCAUGGGAGUGAAAACAGAGCUAAUGAGAAUGAAGGACCGACAAAAUUAAGUAGCAUGUGAAAAGAAAAGCUCUAAGACCUGCACAGAAGAAGAACUGAGGCUCUGGCUCACACAGUAAAUCAAAUUUUGACCAGAGGGAUCAGUUUAAAUGCAGGCUGCCUGUCUGUGGAAUCAUCACUGAAAUGGCUUCUGAGAAGACCAGGGUCAGCUGCAGGCACCUUGGCAGACAGAAACUGAGACCCUCUAUGUGUGGUGCUGAGACCUGAACAUCUCACCAUGCAGCUGAAUAAAACAUCUGUGGAUAUUAUGAAAAGGUCCUUUUUUAUUCCUUUCCCUGGACUAUACUAGCAGCAAUUCAGCUUGCUACACCAGAACUCAGCUCAAACCACUGAUGAUGGACUCUUCUUGGCCCCCACAAGCACAGCCAGUGGAGAUGGAAGGGGUGGCUGCUUGACAAGCAGCAGUGACCAAGAGCUAUGGCACAGGUUACUGAAAGAAAUGCACCUUUGCUGCCACUGGUUUUAUGUAAUGUAAUUGCAGGAGAAGGAAGUGAAAUUGAAUUAAAUGUUGUGCCUUUUACAAUGCCUUCUUGACAGAAAGCCCAUUGCCUCUAUGUUCAGAAAUACGUUUUGAAUAAAGAGAAGUAGUUUAAAGAUUGCCAAAUAUCAUGCAUCUUUCAGCCAAUUUACCUAAGUUAUAAUGAAGGUUGAAGGUUCUAUUUUGUGAUUGCGCUUUAAAUUACCAUGACAUUUGGAUCAGAUCUCAUGGAUGUGAACAUCUGGGCAACACCUAGGGGAAAAUAUAGAUUAAUACUGCAGUGAAGACAUGUUUGUUGGGACUAGUGGUUUAGAUAAAAAUGUUCAUUCCAAUGAAAGACAUUGCACACAACCACAUUGUCACUCAAUCAUAGCAGUAUAGCACAAAGAGAAGCAGACCGUGUGGUAAAUCAGUCCAGCCGUUCAGAUGGGUAAGCACUGCCUGCAUUUGUUGGUUUAGAAUAGUUUCAUUUGUUCCUGGGGCUGUGAUUUCAAAGGUAGCUAAGGAAGUUAUACAUGCUUCACUUAAUAAGCAGUUUUAAGAUGUUCUGAGGAUUUUGUAAUAGCCUAAAUCUGAGAUUAAAAAUUUGAAGAGGAAUAUGCUACUAUUCAAUUUUAAACAGAAAUGUCACAAUGUGGUUGAGUAAUAUAACAAAUGUUCUAUCAUUUUUCUCAGCAACGGCUUAAAACCACCUGUAAAUUAUAUAUACUAUGAAGCUAUGACAAAUGAACUUCCACAGCCAGAUAUCUUGGCAAUAUUUGUAUGUUCUACAGGUAUUCUCUGUUUGUUUUGGCUCAGGCCAUGUUUGAACUGAGCUCCUCAUUUUUCCCAUAUCCUAAACGUGACUUAGAAGAAAUAACGAAUUUCAUCACCUAAAUAACGCAAACCAGAAAUCCACAAUGUGCUGUUGGUCCUGUUUCACAAAGGCUUACAGCAGCUUCAUGUGAAUAAUGAGGAGAAGAUAUGUUUGAAUGCAACAUUGGAAAGGUUUUUAUUCAGGUGAGCAAUUUCUUCUAGAUAUGGUUUAAAGUCUUUUUUAAAGCAGUAGAAAAAUGCUACUUGAAGUAAUCAACAUAGUAGAAAAUCCUUAGUUUGACCUGUGUGGGUGUAAAUUAAGAAUCUAAACUUAAUUAGAGUAAACACUUGAUUAUUUUUCUAACUUGACCUGAAACCUAUUUAAUACAGGUGAAUUAUAUAUAAUUUCUAAGGGGUAAUGAUAUAAGCAAAGCAAUGACAGGAGAAUGAAAUAAUGGAAAUGAUUUAACGCCAAUGACAGUUUAUUUAAAGCAAUUCUUUACAGAGAGAAGCCAGUCCAUUCCUUUGCCUCUGUAAUUGUACAUAUAAGCACAGUAUUUAAAUGGUUUACAAUUAAAAUAUUCAACAGCCUGAAAUAGUGCUGCAUACUCUGUCUUCUUAAGAAGAAUAGUUACACAUUCUAUAACUACUGCUAAAAGGUGUUGGUAACUGAACCAUAUCUGAUGCUUACUGUUCUAGAUUGAACACAAAUAAGAGCAAAAUAAUUUUGUAAUAAUUGUUUUUGUACAGUAUUUUUUGUAUUCCUUCCUGUCUUGCUGGGAAGUUAUCUCUAUUUUGGUUCAAUAGAUGUUUUAGGCAGCUACACUACUAGAGAUAAAGGAGCUAAAUUAUAAAAGUAAGCCCUUACUGUUCUUGGAUAAAGCUGUUCCAAAUUGCUCUUUCUCUUCAAAUUAUUUUUCAUUAUGUUUCCUUGUCAUUGUGUUUUGUUGUUGUGCAUCUUUCUGAGAUUUUGAACUCCAUAGACAUGUGUCUACUACACAUAAAAUACUGUCUUUUAUGUGUAGGAACAUGUGAUAGCUACUUUGUGGUUGUCACAUCUGGCAGGGCCACUAGAAUCCAGCACGUUAGUAAUAAUAAUUAGUGACAACAAUAUUAGCAGUAGAUGUGUAUCACCUUCACCUUACGGGUUGGAAAUAAUAUUAUUUUUUAGAAAUCACUUUUAUAUUUCAUGCAUAAUGUAGAAUCUUGACUACUGUCUGUAUCAAAUUAGUAUGAAAACAGCAAGCUUUGUAAAAGUGUGGUAAGAAAUUUAAGUUACUUGAAAAAUUUUUGGCUGUAGUUUAUAGUCCUUUUCUUGCCUUGUCUGCAGGACACAGUUUAGUAACCAGAGAAAAUCUUGUUAAGGACUGUCAGCAUUUGGAACACAAGUGUUAGCACCUGUUCACAUCUUUUGUAAACAUAUUUGACAUAAUUAUAAUACCAUAUGUUACAAAUGGUUGACAAAAUUUGAUUAAUACACAUUAGUAGCUCACAGUACUUCUCAUGCCACUUGAGUGUUAUUCAGUAAUUAGCAUUUCACUAAGCAUUUACAAGAUGUAUUUUUUGGGUUCUGAGACAUGUAAAAAUUAAAAAUAAAAAUAAUAGGAGGAGUAUUUAUUGAAACAGAUAUUUCAAUUAGAAUUUUUACAAAUACCUUUAAAUUUCUACAUAUUUGAGAGACAACAUUUUUCUCAUUUCCAAAUCUCUCACAUACACCUACAGCAUAUUUUCAAGUUACUGAAUUGUUGUGUACUAGCAACAGAAACAAGAUGCAAGUGACUGCAAGCUAACAUGAUAUGUAUUUACUUUUCUCAUCUGUCAUCCAACUGCUUUUAUGUUUGUUUACCUGUGGAGUUUUUACAGUCUUAUACUGCAGUAGUAGCUUAUCCCUAUUUAACUGUAAUCAUGGAGUCUUGACAUCUAUGGUACCACACAUUACAAAGGAGUUCCUAAGCAAUGUUUGAAAUGAAAAUUGAGUAGUCUGCAGGAGACCCCUUCUGCAACCUAUUAACUGUUGUUUCCUUGGGAGAAAAAGUGACUGUGUAUAUCUGUUUUGCUCAGAGAAUUACCAGCAAAGUAUAGAUCCAUUUUUAUUCAUGCCAUAAAGGGUGCUAUGAAUCUUAGUCUACCUGUGAGCAAAUAAAACAAAAAGAUAGGAAUAUAUGAAAAAAAUGGUGGAAGAAGGAUGUACAUCAAACUUCCAGAAAUGCUCUGGUGAAAACUCAAUGUGUUUGUCUAAACAUGGUCUAUUUAAAACAUGGUCUAUUUUGUUUGUGCACAAACUGUAUUUGUGAAAGCAUUUAUAGAUUAAAGCACAGUGGGAGAUAGUAUACAGAGUGAAUAUUUCAGGGCUUUUGUUUAACAGAUGAAACCUUGGAUGUAUUUAUGUGUUAGAUAUAGAACAUUCUGUAAAUAUUAUUUCAAGGAAAAGGAAUUGAUUUCAAUAGACUAUUCCUAUGGCAUUCUGUAACACGAAAAUAUCUUCAAGGAUGCACAUAUGUUGAGGUCUGAAAAGCAGCAACUAUUUCAGUUCAACAUUUCUAAUCAUAUGUCUAGAUUAGCAUGCAUGCUCUGAAUAAGGACACAGAACUGUAAAUAAAACUCACCAGCUUUUAUCUUGACAUAAAAUAAAAGUUUUCCUCAGAAGCCUUUAAUCUGACUGUCUUCUUUUUUCAUUCACAGCAGUGAGCCUGUAAAGAGCUCUGCCUCUGCAGUGAAAUAC